GGAAGUGAUAAGCUUGUGAACAUACAUCCCGAUUAUGAGUUUUUCCUGUCCAGGCGACGCUAACUGUUUCUGAUCCUUGUAUUUUUUGUUUAUAAGAUGGUACUCUCUGUACAUAGCUUAGCGUACUGAUAGGAUCCCCUUUUCAGGAUUGGCUUACUGGUCACAGUUAGAAUCUUAUCUAUUUGUAAGCUUAGAGUUUCAUAA
rnacentral:misc_RNA from 1 species